AUUGAACGCUGGCGGAAUGCUUUACACAUGCAAGUCGAGCGGCAGCGCGGGGCAACCUGGCGGCGAGCGGCGAACGGGUGAGUAAUGCAUCGGAACAUGUCCAUGUCGUGGGGGAUAGCCCGGCGAAAGCCGGAUUAAUACCGCAUACGCCCGAGAGGGGAAAGUGGGGGACCGCAAGGCCUCACGCGAUUGGGUUGGCCGAUGUCCGAUUAGCUAGUUGGCGGGGUAAGAGCCCACCAAGGCGAUGAUCGGUAGCUGGUCUGAGAGGAUGAUCAGCCACACUGGGACUGAGACACGGCCCAGACUCCUACGGGAGGCAGCAGUGGGGAAUUUUGGACAAUGGGGGCAACCCUGAUCCAGCCAUUCCGCGUGAGUGAAGAAGGCCCUAGGGUUGUAAAGCUCUUUUGUGCGGGAAGAUAAUGACGGUACCGCAAGAAUAAGCCCGGCUAACUUCGUGCCAGCCGCCGCAGUAA
rnacentral:rRNA from 1 species